rnacentral:misc_RNA from 1 species
UGGAGAAAUUCAGCAAGAGAAGGUAA